rnacentral:misc_RNA from 1 species
CUACGUUAUUCCGAUGAACUAUUUUUGCCGCAAGCGGGUGGAUGGCAAUCGAUUUAAACAUCACGAGCUUUUGAGAGGCGUUCGGUGAAGCUAACUGCACAUUGUUAGCGAUCCCGAAUCUCCGUAAGUAGUGAGGCUAAUUUGGGAUCGGGGUCAACGGAUUUAAGUCUUCGUUCAAGGCCCUCGAGAUCCACGCGUUCGAUCCAAGUCGGAGGAUCCGUAUCUCGGGGUGGAAGAGGAGCCAGCAAUCUUUCAGCGGCAGCGCAUAUCCCGCACCAAGUCCUGAAGUCGACAGGAACCGGCGACGGGAAUAUUAUCCGGCAGCAUGUGUUUCACCCCGUUUUCGUCUUCCUCGAAGUACCUGUUGAAAGCUCGUCUGAAUAUCAAUUUUCUUCCGGGGGUGACGAAUACGUGCCGACUCAGAGCUAUUCUUAUGGAUUCGUUCGACUUGCCUUCGUUGAAAAUUCCCCUUCGACGGUGUCGCGAUCCAACUGUCUGCCAAGAUGCUUGAGGAUAUCUGCGUCGAUAAAACUAUUCGGUAAAACACGAUCAGCUGGAAGAGGUAUGGGUACUUCGCUCGACGGUAAGAUCACCGUCCCGUCAGCGAGAGAAGGUCUUGAUCUGUAAAAAAUUGAUUUUGCAUUUUUUUAAUCGCAGGGAAUCCGAUGGUUAUUUUACCAUCCAUCUAAAACAACCACUAACGAAUUAUUCUUGUAACCAGUCUCAACCUGAGACACCUGCGUUUCCAGAGGCUCCGGAGGAUCUCUGACUUCCGUUUGCUGUCCGUAAGUGGAUCCGCGACGGCAUUUCCUUUUCCGCAAUCUUUUACCGCGUCUCCUCAUAGGCGUUUCGUCGCUCUCGCUAUCCACGUCUGCUGCAGCAGCAAUGUUUUUCGGCGUGCUCUGCGAAUCGGUGAUGACAAUAACAAAAAUUAAUUCAGACAAUCAGAUCCACGUUUCGCUGAAGUUCCAGCACUGGUGUCGUCAGCGACGGUUACCGCGACUAUGAAUCACAGUUUAAUAAAAUGCCGUAUCGGAAAUUAAUUUCAUAAUAAAGUAUUAGCAUAAUCAGAUAAGCGCGUUUUUAUCUUAUAAUUAAAAUAGAAACACACGGCGUACCGCGUUGCUGACAUUCACAGUAGGUGGGGGUGGCGCCGGAACGGAUGGCGUUACAUUCAAGGGUAACAACAUUGUCGGUCUGGGUACGAAGAUUUCACUUCUUCGUGGACUCGGCAAAGGUUCCAAGCUCAACGCGUGCCAGCUCAGAGUUUCUAUGUCCUGGAAGAUGUCGGUCAAUUUUUUUUCUCGUACAAAAAAUAGAAGAAAA